rnacentral:rRNA from 1 species
AUUGAACGCUGGCGGCAGGCCUAACACAUGCAAGUCGAACGAGUGGCGGACGGGUGAGUAAUGUCUGGGAAACUGCCUGAUGGAGGGGGAUAACUACUGGAAACGGUAGAUAAUACCGCAUACCAUCGGAUGUGCCCAGAUGGGAUUGGCUAGUAGGUGGGGUAAAGGCUCACCUAGGCGACGAUCCCUAGCUGGUCUGAGAGGAUGACCAGCCACACUGGAACUGGGACACGGCCCAGACUCCUACGGGAGGCAGAAGGGGGGAAUAUUGCGCAAGGGGCGCAAGCCUGCUGCAGCCAUGCCGCGUGUAGGAAGAAGGCUUUCGGGUUGUAAAGUACUUUCAGCGGGGAGGCGUUACCCGCAGAGGAAGCACCGGCUAACUCCGUGCCAGCAGCCGCGGUAAUAC